NNCGACCUGAGAUCAGGCGGGACGACCCGCUGAAUUUAAGCAUAUYACUAAGCGGAGGAAAAGAAACUAACCAGGAUUCCCCCAGUAACGGCGAGUGAAGAGGGAAGAGCCCAGCGCCGAAUCGCCGCACGAGUCGGCGGCGCGAAAUGUGGCGUUUGCGACGUCCGAUGCGGUUCGGACCGGCGUCCGAGUCCUCCUCAUCGGGGCCCCACCCAGGGCGGGUGUCAGGCCUCUACGGCGCCGGUUCGUCUCGCCCGUCGGUCGUCGCCGGAGUCGGGUUGUUUGAGAAUBCAGCCCAAAGCGGGUGGUAAACUCCAUCKAAGGCUAAAUACUGGCACGAGACCGAUAG
rnacentral:rRNA from 1 species